AACUAACGCUGGCGGCGUGCCUAACACAUGCAAGUCGCACGAGAAAGUUGGCUUCGGCCGAUGAGUACAGUGGCGCACGGGUGAGUAACGCGUGGAUAAUCUGCCCUUUAGUUGGGAAUAACGUACCGAAAGGUGCGCUAAUACCGAAUAAUACUGCAUAACUACUGUUGUGUAGUCAAAGAAGGCCUCUGUUUACAAGCUUUUGCUGAAGGAUGAGUCCGCGUACCAUUAGCUAGUUGGUAGGGUAAUGGCCUACCAAGGCGACGAUUGGUAGCCGGUCUGAGAGGGUGACCGGCCACACUGGGACUGAGACACGGCCCAGACUCCUACGGGAGGCAG
rnacentral:rRNA from 1 species